rnacentral:rRNA from 1 species
GUGGGGAAUAUUGCACAAUGGGGGAAACCCUGAUGCAGCAACGCCGCGUGAGUGAAGAAGUAUUUCGGUAUGUAAAGCUCUAUCAGCAGGGAAGAAAAUGACGGUACCUGACUAAGAAGCCCCGGCUAACUACGUGCCAGCAGCCGCGGUAAUACGUAGGGGGCAAGCGUUAUCCGGAUUUACUGGGUGUAAAGGGAGCGCAGGCGGUCUGGCAAGUCUGAUGUGAAAUCCCGGGGCUCAACUCCGGAAUUGCAUUGGAAACUGUCAGACUAGAGUGCCGGAGAGGUAAGUGGAAUUCCUAGUGUAGCGGUGAAAUGCGUAGAUAUUAGGAGGAACACCAGUGGCGAAGGCGGCUUACUGGACGGUAACUGACGCUGAGGCUCGAAAGCGUGGGGAGCAAACAGGAUUAGAAACCCUAGUAGUCC